rnacentral:rRNA from 1 species
UUUAACUGAGCGUUCAGUUACUUGACGUAGACCCGAAACCGGGCGACCUACCCAUGAGCAGGAUGAAGCGAAAGUAAAAUUUCGUGGAGGUCCGAACCCACGAGCGUUGAAAAGCUCGGGGAUGACUUGUGGGUAGCGGUGAAAUUCCAAUCGAGCCCGGAGAUAGCUGGUUCUCCCCGAAAUAGCUUUAGGGCUAGCCUCAAGGUGAGAGAUACGGAGGUAGAGCACUGAAUGUCCUAGGGGGUAUUGCACCUACCGAAGACUAUCAAACUCCGAAUGCCGUCAUCUUAUACUUGGGAGUCAGACUGUGGGUGAUAAGAUUCAUAGUCGAAAGGGCAACAGCCCAGAUCGUCAGCUAAGGUCCCUAAAUGUAAGUUAAGUGGUAAAGGAUGUGGGAUUGCACAGACAACCAGGAUGUUGGCUUAGAAGCAGCCACUCAUUCAAAGAGUGCGUAAUAGCUCACUGGUCGAGUGAUCCUGCGCCGAAGAUUUCCGGGGCUAAAACUUACUACCGAAGCUACGGCAUCAGUAAUGAUGGGUAGGGGAGCUUCCCAUACGGGUUGAAGCAUGACCGUAAGGACAUGUGGACAGUAUGGGAGUGAGAAUGUUGGCAUGAGUAGCGAGAUGUGGGUGAGAAUCCCACAGGCCGUAAACCCAAGGUUUCCAGGGGAAGGUUCGUCCGCCCUGGGUUAGUCGGGACCUAAGCUGAGGCCGAAAGGCGUAGGUGAUGGACAACAGGUUGAUAUUCCUGUACUACCGAUAACCGUUUGAGAGAAGGGAUGACACAGUAGGAUAAGCUAA